GACGAACCGUGCGAACGUUAUUCGGAAUCACUGGGCUUAAAGCGCGUGUAGGCGGGGCGGCACGUCGGUCGCUGAAAGCCCCCGGCUCAACCGGGGAACGGGCGCCGAUACGACCGCCCUCGAGGGACGUAGGGGGACCUGGAACUUCCGGUGGAGCGGUGAAAUGCGUUGAGAUCGGAAGGAACGCCCGUGGCGAAAGCGAGGUCCUGGACGUCUGCUGACGCUGAGACGCGAAAGCCAGGGGAGAGCGAACGGG
rnacentral:rRNA from 1 species